CCAGUCUCCACCCUACGUGAUCUUCCAAGUUCCUCAAGGCCACUGGCGCGGGGGUCACUGCCCCCAAGGAGGGACCUAGAGGGGUGGAGGAGAGGCCGGAGUGAGCAAAUGCGACAAGCUGGGAAAAUGCCCACCCCGCUUUGGUUCUAGAAUCCCUACUCUCCUGGCAACGGGGCUGCUGAACCUCCGCAGACGCCAAGGUUUUUAUAGCAACGGGUAGCGGCGCUGCUCCAGGUUCCCCUCUUUCCAACCUUCCUCCCCAGCUCCCAAAUCCCCCGGCCCAUAAAAGGGCUCCUUAGACCUCCCCGUCUCCCCUCCUGCCGAGUAACCCAAGAUUUCGACCCAUCUGCCAGGUCGGGGGCGAGAGAGAACUGACACAGUUCUCCAAGGCCGCGGGGAAUCGUGGUGUGUUGGGUUUGGGAGAAGUGGGCUGGUUUCGCAGCAUAACCUGGGCUUCCACUGUCCCCAGGGGGAUGGCAUCCAGUGCUACCAGGAAUGUGGAGAAAAAGGGCAGCGGGCAAUCCCAAGCUACAACCUCUGCAGCCUCCUUGGGUGGAGGUCCGAAGGUUUCCCAUUCUGAGGAAUUCCUGACACAGAUCAGCACAGAACUCACUGACGAGGCCUUGUUUGUCGCUGCCUACCGCAUGAAUCCUAUGCCCAUCAAGGAAAAACAGACACAAGACCAAGGGACUCAGAUAUCCAAACACGGGAGCUCUGCGUAGCAGCUUGACAUCUGGAGGGUGAUCCCAACUCUGGUGCUGCUCUUGGCCUCUCGUGCCCUUCCCCCGCUCUGUUCCUCUAGAACAUGCAUCAAAGCUCCUCUUUCACAACUCAUUCAACAGUUCGGUUUUGGGGCGAUUCCUGGUCAUGAGCAACAUCACCCCUGAAGCCUCCAAAGGGUUCUGGAACCAUCACACACCUCUCCACCCUCAGCUAGCAAGGACGCCACCAGAAAUCAAAAACUUUAAUAAAGUGACAGAGAUCCUUCCCUCCUCCCAGGCUGGGCAGUGCUCUCUGUGGGGUGAUGUGGGAGGCGUGCCCCUCCUCCUUUUUGCCAGAUAUGUGGGCAUAUUAUUUUAUUUAUUUCCUAUUCCUUUUUUUUUUUUAAUCAUCUUUACUGG